rnacentral:piRNA from 1 species
UCCCAGAAAGUGCACAUAUGC